CAGUAGCCGCGGUAAAACGAGGGGGGCAAGCGUUGUUCGGAAUUAUUGGGCGUAAAGGGUGCGUAGGCGGUUUGGUAAGUCUUGUGUGAAAUCUUCGGGCUCAACUCGAAGUCUGCACGAGAAACUGCCGGGCUUGAGUGUGGGAGAGGUGAGUGGAAUUUCCAGUGUAGAGGUGAAAUUCGUAGAUAUUGGAAAGAACACCGGUGGCGAAGGCGGCGACCUGGCCUUUAACUGACGCUGAGGCGCGAAAGCGUGGGGAGCAAACAGGAUUAGAUACCCCAGUAGUCCCUGUCUCUUAUAC
rnacentral:rRNA from 1 species